rnacentral:rRNA from 1 species
UACGUAGGCAGCAAGCGUUGUUCGGAAUUACUGGGCGUAAAGAGUGUGUAGGCGGUGCUGCAAGUCUGGUGUGAAAUCUCCCGGCUCAACUGGGAGGGUGCGCCGGAAACUGCAGUGCUAGAGGGUGGGAGAGGUAAGCGGAAUUCCUGGUGUAGCGGUGAAAUGCGUAGAUAUCAGGAGGAACACCUGAGGUGAAGACGGGUUGCUGGGCCGACACUGACGCUGAUAGCGCGAAAGCCAGGGGAGCAAACGGG